AUUGAUAAUGCACUAUCAUAACCUAAGAUAAGUGGUUUACAUUAUUGGCAGGAGUCUUGGUGAAGUUCUCAAAGGAAGUAAGAGGCUUAACUUGAGCUUGAACCGAGCGUGGAGUUGGAGCAAUUGAUAAAAUAUGUAGUUAAUAAUGAAAAUUUCCUUGGUCCAUUGGACUUGUGAGUGAAAUUACAUUGCUUAGUUGGAGAAAUUCUACAAGAAAUCCUCUACUUCCUCCCUAGAAUAUUUAUAUUUCUGGUGGGGAAUUUUGCCUGACAGAUGGAAGUUCUGACUGAUGAAGCGAAUCUGGAGAGUUGAGUUCUUCAUAAAAACAGAAGGGAAAUAAGUAAUUAAUGUCUGGCGGGGGAUGAAGACUUGAAACAACGGAGUUUCUGUUAGUUGCAGAUAUCUGAAGUACUUUCAAUGUAAAUUAUAUCAAGACAGAUUAGCACUCUGCAGAUUAUUGUUCACUUUCCAUAUGGUAGAAGAGCUGAGAUUGUAAAACAGAAUAACCAAAAUCAGUUUCUAUCUGGGGAUUACUAAUCUGUCUUGAUAAAGUAAACCAUCAAACUUGAA
rnacentral:misc_RNA from 1 species